UCUUUGUGAAUGAUUCUUUUUCUAUUCUCAGGCAGUUUUUUUUUUUUCCUUUUCUUUUAGAAGGAAUCUUGCUCUGUUGCCCAGGCUAGAGUGCACGAUCUUGGCUGACUGCAACCUCCCCCUCCCGGGUUCAAGCGAUUCUCCUGCCUCAGCCUCCUGAGUAGCUGGGACUACAGGUGCCUGUCACCAUGCCCGGCUAAUUUUUGUAUUUUUAGUAGAGAUGGGGUUUCACCGUGUUGGCCAGGAUGGUCUCGAUCUCCUGACCUUGUGAUCCACCCACCUCAGCCUCCCAAAGUGCUGGGAUUACAGGUAUGAGCCACUGCGCUUGGCCUCUCAGGCAGGUUUCUUACCUGCAUACUCUGAUCACUACUCUGUUAAAUAGUCAAGGAGGAUAAGUAUUCUCUUCAGAUUUCCAGAACUCUGUCUCUGAACAGCCUUCUCCUCCUCAAUAUUGUGCCCUAUGAAUUCUAGCCACGUUGACCUUCCCAGACUUACAGUUCUGUCUUCUCAACUCAGGAAGAUCUCUGAGCUCCAUCUGCAUUCUUCCUUCCUGUGCUAUGGCCUGGAAACUUUUAUAAGGUAAUGAGGAGGUCAAUUGUGGGGCUAGCCUCCUUUGUUUCUCAUCUCUUGAGGAUCACUGCCCGUUGUUGCUUGAUUCCAGCGAUUGAUUCCCUUUGUUGCUUGAGGGCCAUAGUUUCAUAUAUUUUGUCCAGCAUUUUUGUUGUUUUAGGUCAGAAGGUAAUUUUGGUCUCUGUUACUCCAUCUUGGCCAGAAGUGUAAGUCACUCACCUAUGCAUUUAUAUGUCAAAAUACUGCACAUAUAAUUUUAGUUUAAGCUACUUUAAAAAAAUCUCCUUCAUUUUCCAUUUAGCAUUCCAUUUAGGGUAUUACAUUGAUUUUUUGGAAAUUCUGUUAUUGGCAGUUUCUACUGCUUAUCAAUUCCAUUUAAAGACAGUGCAUAGGAUAUUCUAAAAUAGCUGUUAAACAAAGAGAAAAUUGGCCCUGAUAGGGUGAGAAUCACAGCUCUAAUACCUAGAGUGACCUUAUAAUGUAUUGUCCAAAGGAGAUACUUUUGACAGUGAAAGAAGGUGUUGUUAGUAAUUAUAUCAGGACCAUGGCCUACACCAGGACUAUCCCAGGCAGCCUAGGACAUAUUUGUACCCCAUCUCUAUUUUAUGCCUUUACACAAUUCUUUACUUAGUUCUAAAGCCUUUAUUGAGCCUGCUUUCUUUGUCCAGCUGAGUGCCACAUGUUCACAUCACAAAGAUCAAUAAGGCAAACUCUGAAAGAUGGACAGAGAUAGAGGAGACGGUCCUUUAUAACACAAUGUGAUCUGUGCUCCAAUAGAGAUGGAAGAGUGUUCUGAUUGGCUGGAAAACAACAUACAUGGGAAGCUGUAUGGAAAUGAGUGGAGAAAGUUUUGGAGGCUAGAAGUUCAAAACAAGGUGUUGGCAGCACCAUGCUCUCUCUGAAGAUGCUAGGAAGAAUCUGUUACACACCUUUCCAUUCGCUUCUGGGGUUUCCUGCAAGCCCUCACAUUCCUUGGCUUGUAGAUGCAUCAGCCCAGUUUCUGCCCCCAUCAUCCUGUGGCCUCCUCUCUGUGUGUGCACCUGCAUUCCCUCUCCUCUUCUUCUAAGGACACCAGUCAUAGUAGAUUAAAGGUUCACUCCUAACUAAUUACAUCUGUAACAACCCUAUUUCCAAAUAAAGUCACAUUCUAAGAUUCCUAGGAAGAACAUGAAUUUUUGGGGGGGUGUGAAUACUGUUCAACCUGGGACAUGGAGUA